GGCACUCAAUCACGUGAUGGUUCCCGAUGGUACGCCCACGGGAUGAAAAGGGAAUACGGUGAGGAUUGCCGCGCGGCACCAACUCCGUAACUGCCCCCGCAACUGUAAGCGGUGAGCGACGCCAAACAGCCACUGGCCCUGAGGGUCGGGAAGGUCGGCCAAGCACAGACCCGCAAGUCAGGAGACCUGCCAUCACAUGUUCAACCAA
rnacentral:ncRNA from 2 species